CUUUAACAACAUUUGUUUACACUAUAAAUAAUCCAAACGUAAUAAAUUUCCAACCAAAAACAACAGAUAAUUACAAAAUAAUCUCAGUUGAUAAAUGCAUUCCUAAUCAACAAAUCAGUCACCACGAUAAUAUCAAUAUUAUUUUCAGUAUCAAACAGUUUAUACUGGAUUUCAAAAGUUUUAAAACAAUCUCAAAACAAGUCAAAACCAAUCCCAAAUCAAUUUUAAGAGAAAUUUCAAAACAGCACAUUGCCCAAAAUAUCUUCAACUUAUGUUGCCUAGCUAGUGGGGCAGCACAUUGUCAUGCAUACUCAUAUGAUCUUCAAGUUCAGUGGCAAUUUCAAACUCGGCAUCGCAGACACAACAGAUAUAACCAAUACCAGUUGCUUCUCCUGCUUCUAAUUCCUUACAGACAUCAC
rnacentral:lncRNA from 1 species